CUAUGAUGAUCUCUGUCAGCUGGCACCAGUCAUAGGGUGACUUGUACUCCCUCCGUUGAUGACAAGCUGUGGCUCACCAGGCCAUUUCUGAU
rnacentral:snoRNA from 1 species